rnacentral:lncRNA from 1 species
CGGGCCUCCGCUGCUCGUCUCCUCUAGCUCUCGAGGCUUGGGACAAGGGACCCGGGAGUCUGGGCUACUGGGAAGGGACGCCAGUGCUCGUGGCGGGCCAGGCUUCCUCCGCCGCUGCCGCGCGGAUCCCUCCUGCUCUGCUCCGGGCGCAGUGAGCCUCGGGGUGGCGGGGGCUGGGAGGGUGGCUUGGUUGUCACCGUGGCCAAGGAGAAGCUGGGAAUACUGUCAGCACUGCCCGUGGACCUGCAGCAGGCCCGGACGAACGCACAUUCCAGGCGGGAAAGGGCCGGUGGUCCCCAGGAAGCCCAUUUGUCUUCCACCCUGCAUGCAGAGGCAGCGGGUCUCCAUUUCCAUCAGGCUGGGAUGAAGGCCCCUCUUCUCUCUGAACACACCAGACUGUGGUGCUGCAGCGGACCUUGGGGACCUCAGGGGCAGAACUGA